GACGAACGCUGGCGGCGUGCCUAAUACAUGCAAGUCGAGCGAAUGACGAGGAGCUUGCUCCUUUGAUUUAGCGGCGGACGGGUGAGUAACACGUGGGCAACCUGCCCUAUAGCUUGGGAUAACUUCGGGAAACCGGAGCUAAUACCGAAUAAUUCAUUUUCUCUCAUGAGAAGAUGCUGAAAGAUGGUUUCGGCUAUCACUAUAGGAUGGGCCCGCGGCGCAUUAGCUAGUUGGUGAGGUAACGGCUCACCAAGGCGACGAUGCGUAGCCGACCUGGGAGGGUGAGCGGCCACACUGGGGAUGAGACACGGCCAAGACUCCUACGGGAGGCAGCAGUAGGGAAUCUUCCACAAUGGGCGAAAGCCUGAUGGAGCAACGCCGCGUGAGUGAAGAAGGUUUUCGGAUCGUAAAACUCUGUUGUAAGGGAAGAACAAGUGCCGUAGUAACUGGCGGCACCUUGACGGUACCUUAUUAGAAAGCCACGGCUAACUACGUGCCAGCCGCCGCAGUAA
rnacentral:rRNA from 1 species